UCGCCCAUUAACAAAGAAUAUCCACCGUUAUCACAAUGUGCUAUCGAAAAACAGCUCAAACUAUCGCGCACAACUCUCGAAUCACAAGUCAAAAUGCGCAAUCUGCUGUUAGUCAAACGUUGUGAGGACACUACCGUGCUGUCGCGAUCAGCAAUUAUAAACAUGUGAAUAAACUACCAUAGACUAAUACAUUGCUAACAAAACAUUCAUAUUCAAUCAUUAUUUCCUCAACUUGGAAGAACAAGAUGUUGCUGAAGAGAAGAGAGACCUAUCCAUGGCCUGCAAACAAGGAUCAUGGCUGCCAUAGGCUGAAGCUGAAAAAAAAGGAGGAGACACAGCUAAGUGAAGGUAUUGGGACGGGCAGACCCUGUUCACAGUGAUGUCACGCAGCCUCUCCGCAGACUGGCUGAGUAAGAGGAAC